GUGCUUGCUUUGGUAGCACAUAUAUUAAAAUUGGAACAAUACAUAGAAAAUUAGCAUGACCCCUGCAGAAAGAGGCAUGCAAAUUCAUGAAGAAUUCCAUAUUUUU